rnacentral:rRNA from 1 species
ACAGCAGCCGCCGCGGUAAUACAGAGGGUGCGAGCGUUAAUCGGAUUUACUGGGCGUAAAGCGUGCGUAGGCGGCUUCUUAAGUCGGAUGUGAAAUCCCUGAGCUUAACUUAGGAAUUGCAUUCGAUACUGGGAAGCUAGAGUGUGGGAGAGGAUGGUAGAAUUCCAGGUGUAGCGGUGAAAUGCGUAGAGAUCUGGAGGAAUACCGAUGGCGAAGGCAGCCAUCUGGCCUAAUACUGACGCUGAGGUACGAAAGCAUGGGGAGCAAACAGGAUUAGAUACCCCGGUAGUCCCUGUCUCUUAUAC